AUAGGUUAAUGAGGCGAACCGGGGGAACUGAAACAUCUAAGUACCCCGAGGAAAAGAAAUCAACCGAGAUUCCCCCAGUAGCGGCGAGCGAACGGGGAGCAGCCCAGAGCCUGAAUCAGUGUGUGUGUUAGUGGAAGCGUCUGGAAAGGCGUGCGAUACAGGGUGACAGCCCCGUACACAAAAAUGCACAUAUUGUGAGCUCGAUGAGUAGGGCGGGACACGUGGUAUCCUGUCUGAAUAUGGGGGGACCAUCCUCCAAGGCUAAAUACUCCUGACUGACCGAUAGUGAACCAGUACCGUGAGGGAAAGGCGAAAAGAACCCCGGCGAGGGGAGUGAAAAAGAACCUGAAACCGUGUACGUACAAGCAGUGGGAGCACGCUUAGGCGUGUGACUGCGUACCUUUUGUAUAAUGGGUCAGCGACUUAUAUUCUGUAGCAAGGUUAACCGAAUAGGGGAGCCGAAGGGAAACCGAGUCUUAACUGGGCGUUAAGUUGCAGGGUAUAGACCCGAAACCCGGUGAUCUAGCCAUGGGCAGGUUGAAGGUUGGGUAACACUAACUGGAGGACCGAACCGACUAAUGUUGAAAAAUUAGCGGAUGACUUGUGGCUGGGGGUGAAAGGCCAAUCAAACCGGGAGAUAGCUGGUUCUCCCCGAAAGCUAUUUAGGUAGCGCCUCGUGAAUUCAUCUCCGGGGGUAGAGCACUGUUUCGGCAAGGGGGUCAUCCCGACUUACCAACCCGAUGCAAACUGCGAAUACCGGAGAAUGUUAUCACGGGAGACACACGGCGGGUGCUAACGUCCGUCGUGAAGAGGGAAACAACCCAGACCGCCAGCUAAGGUCCCAAAGUCAUGGUUAAGUGGGAAACGAUGUGGGAAGGCCCAGACAGCCAGGAUGUUGGCUUAGAAGCAGCCAUCAUUUAAAGAAAGCGUAAUAGCUCACUGGUCGAGUCGGCCUGCGCGGAAGAUGUAACGGGGCUAAACCAUGCACCGAAGCUGCGGCAGCGACACUAUGUGUUGUUGGGUAGGGGAGCGUUCUGUAAGCCUGUGAAGGUGUACUGUGAGGUAUGCUGGAGGUAUCAGAAGUGCGAAUGCUGACAUAAGUAACGAUAAAGCGGGUGAAAAGCCCGCUCGCCGGAAGACCAAGGGUUCCUGUCCAACGUUAAUCGGGGCAGGGUGAGUCGACCCCUAAGGCGAGGCCGAAAGGCGUAGUCGAUGGGAAACAGGUUAAUAUUCCUGUACUUGGUGUUACUGCGAAGGGGGGACGGAGAAGGCUAUGUUGGCCGGGCGACGGUUGUCCCGGUUUAAGCGUGUAGGCUGGUUUUCCAGGCAAAUCCGGAAAACUAAGGCUGAGGCGUGAUGACGAGGCACUACGGUGCUGAAGCAACAAAUGCCCUGCUUCCAGGAAAAGCCUCUAAGCAUCAGGUAACAUCAAAUCGUACCCCAAACCGACACAGGUGGUCAGGUAGAGAAUACCAAGGCGCUUGAGAGAACUCGGGUGAAGGAACUAGGCAAAAUGGUGCCGUAACUUCGGGAGAAGGCACGCUGAUAUGUAGGUGAAGUCCCUCGCGGAUGGAGCUGAAAUCAGUCGAAGAUACCAGCUGGCUGCAACUGUUUAUUAAAAACACAGCACUGUGCAAACACGAAAGUGGACGUAUACGGUGUGACGCCUGCCCGGUGCCGGAAGGUUAAUUGAUGGGGUCAGCGCAAGCGAAGCUCUUGAUCGAAGCCCCGGUAAACGGCGGCCGUAACUAUAACGGUCCUAAGGUAGCGAAAUUCCUUGUCGGGUAAGUUCCGACCUGCACGAAUGGCGUAAUGAUGGCCAGGCUGUCUCCACCCGAGACUCAGUGAAAUUGAACUCGCUGUGAAGAUGCAGUGUACCCGCGGCAAGACGGAAAGACCCCGUGAACCUUUACUAUAGCUUGACACUGAACAUUGAGCCUUGAUGUGUAGGAUAGGUGGGAGGCUUUGAAGUGUGGACGCCAGUCUGCAUGGAGCCGACCUUGAAAUACCACCCUUUAAUGUUUGAUGUUCUAACGUUGACCCGUAAUCCGGGUUGCGGACAGUGUCUGGUGGGUAGUUUGACUGGGGCGGUCUCCUCCUAAAGAGUAACGGAGGAGCACGAAGGUUGGCUAAUCCUGGUCGGACAUCAGGAGGUUAGUGCAAUGGCAUAAGCCAGCUUGACUGCGAGCGUGACGGCGCGAGCAGGUGCGAAAGCAGGUCAUAGUGAUCCGGUGGUUCUGAAUGGAAGGGCCAUCGCUCAACGGAUAAAAGGUACUCCGGGGAUAACAGGCUGAUACCGCCCAAGAGUUCAUAUCGACGGCGGUGUUUGGCACCUCGAUGUCGGCUCAUCACAUCCUGGGGCUGAAGUAGGUCCCAAGGGUAUGGCUGUUCGCCAUUUAAAGUGGUACGCGAGCUGGGUUUAGAACGUCGUG
rnacentral:rRNA from 1 species